rnacentral:rRNA from 1 species
UGAAUACGAGAUGCUACGGCAUUGAAGCAGUGUAUGUCAGACUUCCAAGAAAAGCUCGCAAUGUCAUAAACAAUAAAUGCCUGUACCAUAACCGACACAGGUGGGUAGGUAGAGUAUACUAAGGGGCGCGAGAUAACUCUCUCUAAGGAACUCGGCAAAAUGACUCCGUAACUUCGGGAGAAGGAGUGCCUUAUUUUAUAAGGUUGCAAUAACAAGAUCCAAGCAACUGUUUACCAAAAACACAGGUCUCCGCUAAGUCGAAAGACGAUGUAUGGGGGCUGACGCCUGCCCAGUGCCAGAAGGUUAAAGAGGUUGGUUAGCUUCGGCGAAGCUGAUGACUGAAGCCCUGGUGAACGGCGGCCGUAACAAUAACGGUCCUAAGGUAGCGAAAUUCCUUGUCGGGUAAGUUCCGACCCGCACGAAAGGCGUAAUGAUUUGGAUACUGUCUCGGAGAGGGGCUCGGUGAAAUAGACUUGUCUGUGAAGAUGCGGACUACCUGCACCUGGACAGAAAGACCCUAUGAAGCUUUACUGUAACUUGAGAUUGAAAUUGGACUUUAUUUGCGCAGUAUAGGUGGGAGACGUUGAGAAUAUUCUUGCGGGAAUAUUGGAGUCAUCAGUGAGAUACCACUCUUGUAAUGUUAGAUUUCUAACUUUGUAUCAUUAUCUGGUCAAAGGACAGUUUCAGGCGGGCAGUUUGACUGGGGCGGUCGCCUCCUAAACGGUAACGGAGGCGCACAAAGGUUUCCUCUGAACGUGUAGAAAUCGUAUCUAGAGUGUAAAGGCAUAAGGAAGCUUGACUGUGAGACCUACAAGUCGAGCAGGGACGAAAGUCGGUCUUAGUGAUCUGACGGUGCUGAGUGGAAAGGCCGUCACUCAACGGACAAAAGUUACUCUAAGGAUAACAGGCUGAUCUCCCCCAAGAGUUCACAUCGACGGGGAGGUUUGGCACCUCGAUGUCGGCUCAUCGCAUCCUGGGGCGGUAGUACGUCCCAAGGGUUGGGCUGUUCGCCCAUGAAAGCGGUACGCGAGCUGGGUUCAGAACGUCGUGAGACAGUUCGGUCCAUAUCCGGUGUAGGCGUUAGAAUAUUGAGAGGAGCCUUCUUUAGUACGAGAGGACCGAGAAGGACAUACCUCUGGUGUACCAGUUAUCGUGCCAACGGUAAACGCUGGGUAGCUAUGUAUGGAGUGGAUAACCGCUGAAAGCAUCUAAGUGGGAAGCCCACCUCAAGAUAAGUAUUCUCU